rnacentral:lncRNA from 1 species
CUCCGCCGCCACUCCCCACCCGCCGUUUGCCUCGCGGCCUUGAGCAGGGUGGAAGGCUGGGGCUGCCGGUGGCGACUCCCGGGCUCCCUGUAAGAGGUACGGGGUGCGAGUGCUGCGAAAGAUUCCUCCGCCUCUCGGCGGGGCGCUGGGCAGCUCGCAGCCGAGCGCAGCGGCGCGGCUCUGACGGCAUCCGUGAGCUCUCAUAAAACGCUGCGUGUGUUUGGCGGAAUGUUGCUUCUCGGGGGCCAGAGGAGGCUUGAACAGAAUAGAGUGAGUUUAGUGGAUCCUAAGGCAGCUGUAAAUGCUGAAUAGCACAGAUAGAUUACAAAGGGCACAGUAUCAAUCAGCGUGUCUCAUUUUUGGAUAGACCUCCAGAUAUCCAAGGCAACUCUUUGCCAGCCUGACCGUGGCGUAGGCCAGCGUCCAGCAGUACAGCAGUAUUGCUUUGUUAAUACACAUACUGACAGUGUGUAUUUACGGGCCUCUUUUUGAAUACUGUUUAGCCACAGGUUAUAAACUUCCCAGCACUCGGGUACUUGACAUUGCUUCCACAACCGUCUCCAAGAUUUCUGUUUGUCCUUGGGUUGUAACUCGUCUGCCCUGCCUUGGCUUACUCUCGAUUUAGAGUGGCUUCCUAUUCUGCUGCCAGGUGACAGCCUGUAACAAACUGCAGCAGUUCAUUUAUAGCUUCUCCAAAAAUUGGCUGCAGUGACAGUUUUCAAAAUUAUUUGUUUCAUCAAAUGGUAUGCAUUUAACUACGCUGUAUUUCCUUCCUUGCAGCAGUUUGUAACCAUGCACACAAAAAUCCAAGUACUUUUCUCCUUUUGUCUUAUGGAGAACAGAAAUUGUUCUGUCCCAGGAAUAACUGGCUCAGUGUCUGGAUGGAGAUCAGUGAAAAACUCACAAAGGAUUCCAUCCUGGGAGCUGAGUCACUCUCUAAAUCGAGAGCUGUCAUUCUCUGUACAUAAAAUAUUCCUCUGCAGAGCUGAAGGGAAACCUCCAGUCCUCAAGGAACAUGAUCUCUACAAUCAAAUUGUUAGUCCAGUCACACCUCUAAAAGACAGUCAUGGUGAAUAGCAAUCUAGCUUUAGUCAUCUGAGAUAGCUAACAUUUAAAAGAGCUGACUAACAGUGACAUGUAUUAGACAUGGAAAAAACAAGACCGACUAUUUAUUCCUUACCCUUUUCUAUAGGGUAUUUGCCUCUAGUGUGAGGCACUAUAAAGUACCUCACACAUUCUUUGUAUUUUUAAAUAAACAUUUUAAAUAAAAAAACCUAAAUCUUGUG